rnacentral:lncRNA from 1 species
ACGAAGACGGACCUGGUUCCACGCCACCUCGAUCCCCUCCUCCUGAUCGAACCCCCGGUAGACCCGCUUCACGGCGCCGGUCCCAAGCAGGUCGUCGUACCGCCCGUAUCGUCCCGUGGGGUCCAUCUCCACGAACGGCUCCGCAUCCAUGGCCGCCGGAUCAGGUCUCACGAACGGCAUCCCGAUCAAAAAAAGAGAACCCUUGACUUUUCACUCUUCUUUCACGCCUCCCAGCCGUUCGACCAAAAAGCCCGAACGCGAUGGGGAUCCCAAGAAGAGAUCGGACGGAGUCCUUCGAUCAGAUGAAAACCAGGACGAAACAGAUCACGAGGAAAUACGAGGUUCUUGAUUCUUUGAGGUAUUGAUUAGUCGAAGCCAUCGAAGAUUCAAUCAGCAGAGCUACAAAAACACAUGAAGAACCCCAAACAAAGAAAGAACAGAUCAAUAGAAAGAACAAGAUCACAGCUUAGGAACAGAAUCCCCAUGGCGAUGGGGAACUGCUUCGAGAAGCAAAAGCCCCGCAUAAUCUUGACAUGAAACGGAAAGAACAGGGAAAAUUAAAGCACCAAAGGGAGCGGCCGGGAUCGGUACCUUAGGACUAUCAUCUAGAGCAGAGCGGGGCGGCGGAGAAAUCAAGACGAGGGAGGAAGCGGCUCGCGGUGGAAUCCUCGCAGAGGCGGUGCGGAGAGCGUUCCACCUGGGGAUGCGGGAGAGGUAGAGCGCAGCCGAUUGCUU